AUGACAAAGAGAAAUAUUGGUUCAGAUGAAGACCUGCGUCUGCAUAGAACAAUGGUGAAACGAAAGAAACAAGGGCUUCAACUGACCAACCUGCCAACGGAUAUUCUCUGCAGUAUCCUGUCACAAUUGCCGAUAAAAGAAGCUGUACGGACGAGCAUACUGUCAGAACAGUGGAAAUGUCUUUGGCAUCACCACCCAAAUCUAGUAUUUACUCUUAGCUCGAUGUUGCCAAUUCCUCGUACCUUACCGUUAACACCCAAUGAUGAUGAGCUAAGGAAACAUGAGUUUACUCAGAGAGUCGAUGCAGUCCUACAGCAGCACAGUGGUGUGGGGGUUGAGAACGUUCAGUUUCGGGCUCCAUUUGAAGAUGACCAAAGGGAUCAGAUAAAUAGAUGGGUGAACUUUGCUAUUGCAUCCAAAGCGAAACAGCUUAUAUUUGAUUUCUUAACUGCCAGCCCUAUGAGGCCACCAUAUAACUUCGAUUUGCGGCUUCUCGAUGACAGUAAUAGUUUACACUUGCGAUGUAAAACUCUGUUCCGUUUCUCUCAAGGCACGAAUAUUACCGAUGAUGACCUUCAACUUUUAGUGUCCAGCUGCUGUGUUUUGGAGUUACUUGGAAUUGCUAGCUGUAGAAUGCUUACAAGGGUACAGCUAUCUCAUCCUUCAAAUCCACUGAAGCAUUUGCACGUACAUGACUGUCGCUUGCUUCAGGCGAUGGAGUUAAACUUUGGUCUGGUAGAACUUGAGUACAGUGGCCCAUCGAUACUGUUAUCACCUCCUGGAACUUUGCUUCUCAAAAAUAUGUGCAUCGAGUUGAAUGAUAUGUGUCCUUCUCUGGAAUACAUCUUUACGAAACUUGAUAAUAACGUGCCUCGUCUUGAGAUGCUGACUCUUCAUUGCACCGAGUCAAAGAGGGCUUCAUUGCCAGGAAAGCUGCACAAAUUUUCUUAUCUGAAGCACCUGAGACUGGAGUUGACUUUUUUGGGUGCUCCGAGAAGCAAGAGUGAUAUCCUCGAUUUCGCCUGCCUUUAA
rnacentral:rRNA from 1 species